rnacentral:rRNA from 1 species
CAAUAGCGUAUAUUAACGUUGUUGCAGUUAAAAAGCUCGUAGUUGGAUUUCUGGAGGGAGCGUCGGCCCGUAUUUACGAGUGCGUGACGUCUCUGUCCAUCCUUGCGGGAAGGCACGGCAUUGAUUUGUUGUGUCGGAUCGCAUCAUUUACUGUGAAAAAAUUAGAGUGUUCAAAGCAGGCUUUCGCUUGAAUACAUUAGCAUGGAAUAAUAAGAUAGGACUUUGGUACUAUUUUGUUGGUUGAGCCUAAAGUAAUGAUUAAUAGGGAUAGUUGGGGGCACCUGUAUUGCGUUGUCAGAGGUGAAAUUCUUGGAUUUACGCAAGACAAACAGCUGCGAAAGCGUCUGCCAAGGAUGUUUNCAUUA